CGCAUAGGCAGAUACACACAUGCAGAGCACGCAGAUGCACAUGGACACGCUAGACACACGCAUGUAGAGACACACGCAUGUAGAGACACACGCAGAGCACACACGUAGUCAGACACAUGCGCAGAUGCACACACACAUGCAAAUGCACAUGGACACGCAGAGCGUGCACGUACACGUCAGACUCACGCAUGCAGACACACACGCAGAUGCACACACAUAUGCAAAUGCACAUGGACACGCAGAGCGUGCACGUACAAGUCAGACUCACGCAUGCAGACACACACGCAGAUGCACACACAUAUGCAAAUGCACAUGGACAUGCAGACCGUGCACGUACACGUCAGACUCACGCAUGCAGACACACACAGAGCGUGCACGUACACGUCAGACACACGCAUGCAGAGACACACAGGGCGCACAUGGACACGUCAGACACACAGAGCACACACAUACGUGUUAGACACACGCAUGCAGAGACACACGCAGGGCGCACAUGGACAUGUCAGACACACAUGCAGACACACGCGCAGAUGCACACACACAUGCAAAUGCACAUGGACACGCAGAGCGUGCACGUACACGUCAGACACACGCAUGCAGAGACAUGCAGGGUGCACAUGGACACGUCAGACACACACAUGCAGACACAUGUGCAGAGCACACACAUACGCGUUAGACACACAUGCAGAGAUACACGCAGGGCGCACACGUACACGUCAGACACACGCAUGCAGAGACACACAGGGCGCACACGUACACGUCAGACUCACGCAUGCAGAGACACACACAGAGUGUGCACGUACACGUCAGACACACGCAUGCAGAGACACACUCAGGGCGCACAUGGACAUGUCAGACACACAUGCAGACACGCGCAGAUGCACACACAUGCAAAUGCACAUGGACAUGCAGAGCAUGCAUGUACAACGUCAGACACAUGCAUGCAGAGACACACACAGGGCGCACAUGGACACGUCAGACACACACAGAGCACACACAUACGCGUUAGACACACGCAUGCAGAGACACGCAGGGCAUACACGUCAGACACACGCAUGCAGAGACACACAGGGCGCACAUGGACACGUCAGACACGCAGAGCACACACAUACGCGUUAGACACACGCAUGCAGAGACACACGCAGGGCGCACAUGGACACGUCAGACACACGCAUGCAGACACACGCGCAGAUGCACACACAUACGCGUUAGACACACGC
rnacentral:lncRNA from 1 species